AUACGGAGGGUGCGAGCGUUAAUCGGAAUUACUGGGCGUAAAGCGUGCGUAGGCGGUUUGCUAAGUCAGAUGUGAAAGCCCCGGGCUUAACCUGGGAACUGCAUUUGAUACUGGCAGACUAGAGUAUGAUAGAGGGGGGUAGAAUUCCUGGUGUAGCGGUGAAAUGCGUAGAUAUCAGGAGGAAUACCAGUGGCGAAGGCGGCCCCCUGGAUCAAUACUGACGCUGAGGUACGAAAGCGUGGGGAGCAAACGGGAUUAGAAACCCUAGUAGUCC
rnacentral:rRNA from 1 species